rnacentral:lncRNA from 1 species
GCGGAUUCAGGAAUUUAAACUGACCCUGGCUCUCUCUGGAUGAGGCUGUGUCCCCAAGGUUCCUGCCUAAUCCUUGCUCUGUGGUUCUUUUCCCCUGGUCUCCUGGCUCAUGAAACAAGGCCUGCACAGACCUUGGCUUUGGACUCACCAACUGGCACACCCCACCCCACAAGCCUUCAGCAAAGUCAGAGAGGCGCCUUUCAUGGCUUCAAAAGUUCCACCAGGUUCUCCAGCCGCAGGGGGCUGGAGUGGGUAACUGAAUCCUACUCAAGGCAGAAAAAAAGCGCACAGUGACCUUUUGUCCCAAAAGUUCCCGGCUUUCCCCGGCCAGCCAGCCAGCGGAGGCGGCCCAGCCAGCCAGGAGCGUAAGGAAUUGCAGAUGUGCGCCCAGGGCGGCCGC